rnacentral:rRNA from 1 species
ACAUGAUCUUAAGCCAGUAAACCUGCUGAAUUUAAGCAUAUAAGUAAGCGGAGGAAAUUAAACCAAAUGGGAUUCCCUAAGUAAUUGCGAAUGAACAGGGAUUUGCUCAGCAUGAAAAUUGGGGCCUUCGGCUUCGAAAUGUAAUUUCAAAAUGUAUUGCUAACGGAAGUGCAGAUGCAAGCCUUUUGGAAGAAAUGCAUGAUUCAGGGUGAGAUUCCUGUUUGUCAUCUGCAAUCUUCUGUGUACGGCGUAUGUUUCAAGAGUCACGCUCCUUGGGAUUGGAGUGCAAAGUGUGUGGUAAAUUUCAUGUAAAGGUGAAUAUAUUUUUGAGUCCGAUAGCUAACAAGUACCAUGAGGGAAAUAUGAAAAGGACUUUGGAAAGAGAAUUAAAAAAGCCUGAAUUUGCUGAACAGAAAGUAAACAGAACUUGUUUCCUUGGUGAGAUUGUUGUGUGUUAGUGACAUAGGUCACCAUGCACGCAGUGGUUCUUGCCAUGUGUGUCAGCUCCAUUUUGCAAAUCAAUAAUUGUUCUAAUGUGUGGUAAUCUGCCUGUGGGUGUGUGACUGCUUUUCCUUGCGAUUAUUUGUAAAAUGGAAUGUUGUGUCUGGUGAUCUUGUGGCUGUUACCUUGACAUGUGUGCUGCAAGUGUGCACCUUCUGGAACAACCCACAAUCCCUGAUGCACUGGUGCUGGCAAUGCUGUUCUGCUUGACCCGUCUUGGAACACGGACCAAGGAGUCUAAC